rnacentral:ribozyme from 17 species
CCUAAAAUAAAAGGAUCAAAAAAAAAAGAAGAAGAAAAAAUUUGAAAAUCCGGUUUGAAAUUUAUACUCGUUCCGUUUUUUUGAUCAAUUAAACCAGAUUUUUUUGAAAUUUUUAAUUCUCCUAUACUUUUUCCU